rnacentral:lncRNA from 1 species
AAAUUUCUCUCCUAUCGUUGGCGUCUCUAUCGCGUACAACACCAUAUAAUAAGGGUUAGAACUGUUUACUACCUCAAUGUGACAAAAUCGCACUAAAUUCCCUCCACUACUUAGCGGACGCUAACUUUUUUUUAUUAAGGUGGGCCCCAGCUCUCUCGCUCCUUGAGUUUGCUUGCUCAGAUCUGGUGCCUCACCGCCCCUCUUCCCUCUUUCCUCUGCUCUCCGGUGACCGUCGCUGCCUACCGCCCUAAAUUUGCUGACACCGCAAUGAAGCCACGACCGCAGUGAACCCGCCGCCUCCCUCUCUCCGUAUCAUCUUCAAUGGCGGAGCAAACCACCGCCACCGCCACUGACGCCAGUUCUGCAACCUCAGCUCCGCCGGCAGGUUUGCCGAAGGAGGUGACCGCUGGGUGUGGCAAAGGACGGAACCCUCGGAACUGAGGCAACUCAAGGAGAGAGAGAGAGUUGGGGCCAUCUUAAUUAAAAAUAAAAAAAAUAUUUAUUCUAAUGGUGUUAAGCUCCGUUAAGUAGCGGGGGGGAUUUAGUGCGAUUUUGCCACGUUGAGGUUGACUCUAACUCUGACUAUAGGGUGCUGUAUGUGAUAGAGACGAGUUUAAAUUUAUUUAAUGCCACUUAUCUUAGGGCUAUUUGCAAAAAUAGGCCACUAUUUUUCGGACUUGCAAAAAUAGGCCAAUUAUUUUAGUUUUUUGGUAUUUUUAGGCUCCAUGUGUACUCAAUCAGGCUAUUUUGGGUCACAUUUUAACCCCAAAAAAUGGCCUAUAAAUGCUGAAUUGAGCUCAAAUGUGGCCUAAAAAUGCCAAAAACUAAAAUAAUUGGCCUAUUUUUGCAAAUAGCCCUAAGACAAUGGCCUUAAAUAAUUUUAAACUCGAUAGAGACACCAAUAAUAAGGGAAAUUUGGUACUUAAUCCUUAUUUUAAGUACUACUUUUAUUUAAUCCAUCGAUCAUCUACAUGUGCACAACAUAUUGAAAG